rnacentral:rRNA from 1 species
AUUGAACGCUGGCGGCAGGCCUAACACAUGCAAGUCGAACGGAUGAAGGGAGCUUGCUCCUGGAUUCCGCGGCGGACGGGUGAGUAAUGCCUAGGAAUCUGCCUCGCCGUGCGGGAUAAUGUCCGGAAACGGGCGCUAAUACUGCAUACGUCCUGAGCGUGAAAGGGGGGGGUCUUCGGACCUCACGAUAUCAGAUGAGCCUAGGUCGGAUUAGCUAGUUGGUGGGGUAAAGGCCUACCAAGGCGACGAUCCGUAACUGGUCUGAGAGGAUGGUCGGUCACAGGGGAAGGUGGACAGGGACCAGGCUCCUAAGGGACGCAGCAGUGGGGAAUAUUGGACAGUGGGGGAGAGCCUGAUCCAGUCGUGGCGAGUGUGUGGAAGAGGUCUUCCGAUUGGAAUGCACUUUUAGUGGGGGGAAAGGGCAGUAAGUUAAUACCUAGCUGUUUUGACGGUACCAAGAGAAGAAGCACCGGCUAACUACGUG